AGAGGGUGAGAAUCCCGUACGUGGUCGCUGGCUAUUGCCGUGUAAAGCCCCUUCGACGAGUCGAGUUGUUUGGGAAUGCAGCUCUAAAUGGGAGGUACAUUUCUUCUAAAGCUAAAUAUUGGCCAGAGACCGAUAGCGCACAAGUAGAGUGAUCGAAAGAUGAAAAGCACUUUGGAAAGAGAGUCAAACAGCACGUGAAAUUGUUGAAAGGGAAGCGCUUGCAGCCAGACUUGCUUACAGUUGCUCAUCCGGGUUUUUACCCGGUGCACUCUUCUGUAGGCAGGCCAGCAUCAGUUUGGGCGGUAGGAUAAAGGUCUCUGUCACGUACCUCCUUUCGGGGAGGCCUUAUAGGGGAGACGACAUACUACCAGCCUGGACUGAGGUCCGCGCAUCUGCUAGGAUGCUGGCGUAAUGGCUGUAAGCGGCCCGUCUUGAAACACGGACCAAGGAGUCUAACAUCUAUGCGAGUGUUUGGGUGUCAAGCCCGAGCGCGUAAUGAAAGUGAACGGAGGUGGGAACCCGCAAGGGUGCACCAUCGACCGAUCCUGAUGUCUUCGGAAGGAUUUGAGUAAGAGCAUGGCUGUUGGGACCCGAAAGAUGGUGAACUAUGCUUGAAUAGGGUGAAGCCAGAGGAAACUCUGGUGGAGGCUCGCAGCGGUUCUGACGUGCAAAUCGAUCGUCAAAUU
rnacentral:rRNA from 1 species